rnacentral:rRNA from 1 species
AUUGAACGCUGGCGGCAUGCCUUACACAUGCAAGUCGAACGGCAGCAUGGAAGAGCUUGCUCUUCUGAUGGCGAGUGGCGAACGGGUGAGUAAAGCAUCGGAACGUACCGUGUAGUGGGGGAUAACGUAGCGAAAGUUACGCUAAUACCGCAUACGCACUGAGGUGGAAAGCAGGGGAUCGCAAGACCUUGCGCUAUACGAGCGGCCGAUGUCAGAUUAGCUAGUUGGUAGGGUAAAGGCCUACCAAGGCGACGAUCUGUAGCGGGUCUGAGAGGAUGAUCCGCCACACUGGGACUGAGACACGGCCCAGACUCCUACGGGAGGCAGCAGUGGGGGAAUUUUGGACAAUGGGCGAAAGACCUGAUCCAGCCAUGCCGCCGUGAGUGAAG